rnacentral:rRNA from 1 species
UACGAAGGGGACUAGCGUUGUUCGGAAUCACUGGGCGUAAAGCGCACGUAGGCGGAUGUGUCAGUCAGGGGUGAAAUCCCGGGGCUCAACCUCGGAACUGCCUUUGAUACAGCACGUCUCGAGUCCGGAAGAGGUGGGUGGAAUUCCUAGUGUAGCGGUGAAAUGCGCAGAUAUCAGGAGAACACCAACGGCGAAGGCAGCACUCUGGGCCGGUACUGACGCUGAGGAGCGAAAGCGUGGGGAGCAAACAGG